UUGAAACUAUCUUGACCACACUCGUAAUUCAUGAAAAUGAAGGAAAAUGCUGUUUUAUUAACGUAAAAAGGGGUGUGGCCAAAAAUUGUGGCGCACUUUGCGUGCCCCUCUAAUUCCCAGCCCAUGCAACAUUUCAAGUCUGCAACCGCCUAUGACUGUAGGGUGACUAGGGUCGUCUGAAUAUUAAAAUAUGUAGUGUCCUACAGUAUGUUUGUCAUAAAGAAUCAUUGACUAUACCAGAUACACUAGCCAAGAGGAUUGCAGAGAAGUCAGAAAGAAACCUUCGUAAAGCUAUACUGCUUUGUGAGGCGUGCCGUGUUCAGCAGUAUCCCUUCAAUGAUGAUCAGGUUGUCCCUGAUUGUGAGUGGGAGGUUUUCUUACGUUAAAUAGCUACAAUGAUCAUCACAGAGCAGAGUCCUAAGAGGUUACUUGAAGUAAGAGGACGUUAUUAUGAGCUGUUAACUCAUUGUAUACCACCUGAUAUUAUUU